GUUCCUGCUAAAACUCAGAAGUUCAUCUGAGAAUUCAUGUCUAAUUUAGAUGGACUAUAAGAUUUCCAUUUUGUUAUUUCAAGAGGGCUUCUGGCUGAGAUGCUCACAGACACCUCUGGAAUGCCAGUGAUCCUGUUUAUUGAGUACAAGACAACACCCUGUCAACACAGUAAUGUCAAAAUAUUGCAGAUCCUUUUGUCUUGCACGGUGUAACAGAUUGCACAGAACAGCAGUUAAUGCAAUUCAUUUAGGAUAGACCUUUAGUCCUAAUCCUGGUUCCUAGGACAGUUCAAAUAUUUUGAAUUUAAAUAAUAAAUACAACUACUUUAUAAGUUGAACAGCUAAGUGCACUGAACUGUAUACUCAUACUUCUUUUAUUCACUCAGUGAAUCCUGGAUUUGCUUCAGUGCAGCAUUCUGUGCAACAGAUUUGAGAACUUUCUGGAGAUGCCUUUCUUCAGGCUUCAGGCAAGAUGACGACAUAGACAACAUAAAACUAAAAAAUGGGAAGAAGUAUAUAUGAAGAGAAGAAAAAAAAAGUUCCCAAGGAUCAGAAAUGUACAGGCCUUGGAGUCGUAUUUGGCAGUUUCCUCAGAAUCACUGAUGAGAGAAUAAUCCAUUCUUCCAGCGAGGCAGAUGAAUUCCAGAAGUUUGAAAGACUAUGUCUGGAGAGGCAGAUGAGACGUUGAACUGCUCCAGGAUUUUCCACUUUGGAUUUCACUAGAAUGAAGUUUCUCUUCUGGGUGACCACUGGGAACAACGAUGGUGUUACAGAAUCACAGAAUUGCUGAAUCACCAAGAUUGGAAAAGACCUACAAGAUCAUCCACCAAUCACCAAUAGUUCUCACUAAACCAUAUCCCUCAACACAACGCCCAAACAUUCCUUGAAUACCUCCCUGGGCAGCCCAUUCCAGUGCCUGACCACCCUUUCAGAGAAGUAGUAUUUCCUAAUGUCCAGUCUGAAUCUCCCCUGGUGCAGCUUGAAGCCAUUCCCUCUAGUUCUAUCACCAGUUACAUGGGAGAAGAGGCCGACCCCCAGCUCACUACAACCUCCCUUCAGGUAGUUAUAGAGAGCAAUGAGGUCUCCCUGAGCCUCCGCUUCUCCAGAGAACAACCCCAGCUCCCUCAGCCGCUCCUCAUCAGGCCUGUGCUCCAGACCCCUCACCAGCUUUGUCGCCCUUCUUAGAUACCCGCUCCAGGGCCUCAGUGUCUUUCUUGCUGUGAGGCGCCCAAAACUGGACACAGUUUGAGGUGCGGCCUCACCAGUGCUGAGUACAGGGGGACAAUCACUUCCCUGUUUCUGCUGGCCACACUGUUCCUGAUGCAAGCCAGGAUGCCAUUCGCCUUCUUGGCCACCUGGGCACACUGCUAGCUCAUGUUACUGGGAGUUGUCGCCUGGAUUCAGUUUCUAUAGAAGUGUUUUCUCACGUAGAGGAAGAUCUCAAGACUUUUAGAAUGAAUUGGAAAGACAGGCUGAAAAUUGCUGAGUAUCUGACCAUUCCGAAGAAAGUUGAAAGAUUCAUCAGAAAAGUUUCAUUAUUUGCUUAAUGCAAAAUCUGUAUUCAAAUGCUCUUUAUAAAAUAUAUUCCCAAAUAUAGGAGCAAGAAUAACACAUUUUCUUCUGUUCUCAAGACUGUCAGACACAUCAAUAGAUAACCUGACUUAGAUUGUUGUCCAUACCUGAAGGUAUUGCUACAGUAUGUUUGAAAACAUUAAAUAAUAGUGAGAAAGCGUAUUCCUCUUCAAAGUGGCUCUGACAUCUUCUAUUACAGGUAAAGAAAAAUAGCAAUGACUGCAAUCAUUGUUUUUUUGCAAUGAUUGUCUUAAUAUUUACCACUGUCAUUGGAACAGAGGAAUUGAAUCAAUCAAGACAGGCUUUACUAAAUGUAUGACAGUCGGCAUCUAGCCUUACAUAUCAGCGAGGUCUGCCUAAUGCAAAUACAAUGAUAUUAAAAUAACAUUUUUAUGGUGAUGAUGGAUUUUGCUGUUGUUAAUUGCUCAUUUAAUUAUGCAACAUCUGAGACACCAGAAGAUUCAAGCGUAUACGACAUUCAUUCUUGACUACACUGCAAACAUUGUGGCAGGAAGGAUGUCUAAACUGAGGCAAACAGGAGACUUUCCAGAUUCCUGAGCCUGAAUGCAUGUAUAAGUUUGUAUCCUUGUAGUCUAUCAGGACGAGACUGUAGUACGUGCCAUUUUUUUCUUUUGUGUGGAGACCUGGGGCUGCAGAUUGGUAGCAAGGGUGACUGUAUCAGGGUGGCAUUAUGUUAGAUCCUAAUCUGGACAAUGUAUAUGCCAUGACAAUAAAGUAACCUGGAAUGGGCA
ensembl:lncRNA